UCUAGCUUGCUAGAUUGAUGGCGAGUGGCGAACGGGUGAGUAAUACAUCGGAACGUGCCCUGUAGUGGGGGAUAACUAGUCGAAAGAUUAGCUAAUACCGCAUACGACCUGAGGGUGAAAGUGGGGGACCGCAAGGCCUCAUGCUAUAGGAGCGGCCGAUGUCUGAUUAGCUAGUUGGUGAGGUAAAGGCUCACCAAGGCGACGAUCAGUAGCUGGUCUGAGAGGACGAUCAGCCACACUGGGACUGAGACACGGCCCAGACUCCUACGGGAGGCAGCAGUGGGGAAUUUUGGACAAUGGGCGAAAGCCUGAUCCAGCAAUGCCGCGUGUGUGAAGAAGGCCUUCGGGUUGUAAAGCACUUUUGUCCGGAAAGAAAUGGCUCUGGUUAAUACCUGGGGUCGAUGACGGUACCGGAAGAAUAAGGACCGGCUAACUACGUGCCAGCAGCCGCGGUAAUACGUAGGGUCCAAGCGUUAAUCGGAAUUACUGGGCGUAAAGCGUGCGCAGGCGGUUGUGCAAGACCGAUGUGAAAUCCCCGAGCUUAACUUGGGAAUUGCAUUGGUGACUGCACGGCUAGAGUGUGUCAGAGGGGGGUAGAAUUCCACGUGUAGCAGUGAAAUGCGUAGAGAUGUGGAGGAAUACCGAUGGCGAA
rnacentral:rRNA from 1 species